rnacentral:lncRNA from 1 species
AGCAAGGCAACAGUCUAUUUGCUGAGGGUACAGGCAACUUUCCAGGACAGCUGUCUUCCAUGUGGGAGCUCCGAACCUCAGGCUAAUUCAAUCACGUGGCAUGUCCAUAACAAGUUCUUCCAUGAUUGCUGUGGCAGUGAAGAGAGAGUCUGCAUAGUCCUACAGAUUUGGACAGAUGCUUGUGACACUGGUCCUAGUCGCAGAGAACCCAGGAACAUGACACUGUUCUUCCCUCCAAGGCAUGAGAAAAAUGCAAACCUGUACAUAUUCCUACAAAAUGAAGAAAAGACCCUAGAUCAUCAGGCAGCAACUUAUGCUCAAUUGUACUCCUUUAAGAGUUUAUAAACACAAAUAAUAUGCUUCCUUUGCAAAAUGUGAGGAAGAAGAGGAUAUAAGGAUGGAAUGCUCUUCACAUCCUCUAAGGUAGUAAUAAAAACAUUUGAUUUGUUUUGCA